rnacentral:lncRNA from 10 species
AGCUGGGUGUGGUGGCAUACCCGGUUACUUGGGAGGCUGAGGCAGGAGGAUCACUUGAGUCCAAGAGUCUGGACUAUAGUCACAAGUUCAUCAUCAAUAUGGUGACCUCCUGGGAGCAGAGGAUCACCAGGUUGCCUAAGGAGGAGUGAACCGGCCCGGGACAGAAUCAGAGCAGGUCAAAACUGUGCUGAUUAGUAGUGAGGUUGUGCCUGUGGAUAGCAAUUGUACUCCAACC